UGAGGAAUAUUGGUCAAUGGACGGAAGUCUGAACCAGCCAAGUAGCGUGCAGGAUGACGGCCCUAUGGGUUGUAAACUGCUUUUAUACGGGGAUAAAGUUAGGGACGUGUCCCUAUUUGCAGGUACCGUAUGAAUAAGGACCGGCUAAUUCCGUGCCAGCAGCCGCGGUAACCCCGAAGGUCCGGGCGUUAUCCGGAUUUAUUGGGUUUAAAGGGAGCGUAGGCCGUUUGGUAAGCGUGUUGUGAAAUGUAGGAGCUCAACUUCUAGAUUGCAGCGCGAACUGUCAGACUUGAGUGCGCACAACGUAGGCGGAAUUCAUGGUGUAGCGGUGAAAUGCUUAGAUAUCAUGAAGAACUCCGAUUGCGAAGGCAGCUUACGGGAGCGCAACUGACGCUGAAGCUCGAAGGUGCGGGUAUCGAACAGG
rnacentral:rRNA from 1 species